GCGACACGACUGCAUCGCUAAAGAGCUACUGCUGUCUUCGCAGAUCCCUGGAUGCACCUGUGACUGGGUCCAAGGAACACCACCCCUGCUGAAGUGAAUCUGCGUACUACUGCGAAAGGUCCCCGCUGCUGUGAACUUGCACCCAACCUGAGGCCACCGUCAUCCAACUGCGUCAUCGGACACUUGGCGCUGUAUUGGCAAAAUCUGCGCAGACGUACACUGGACCAUCUACUAGAUAAAAGAGCGAACAUCGGAGCAGUGGUCACUUGGCAGCAGUGGCAGCGACACGACUGCAUCGCUAAAAAGCUACUGCUGUCUUCGCAGGUCCUUGGUUUUUUGUUGCCCCACAACGUCUGCAUACAGGAUCACGGCCCGGCUUCGCUGCUUGACCUUCCGUUUUCUGAAAUCCAUGGAACGCAGCUGAUGCGCACCCUGUCCGGCGCAGCCCUCGACGAGAUGGACUGGCGGGAGAGCGCACCCUACCGCUUCACUUCUACAACUGAGAUGGCAGCGAUACCAACGGCGUAUAAAUGGAGCAACUUGUCGAUCGUCGGCAUUGGGCACGGCCGCACCGCAGUGAGCAUGGCGCUCACGAACCACUUCAUCUUUCUCGUCCAGGUUCUAGCUUCCUUGCUACAAAUGCAAGCACCGUGUACCUGCGCAGAAGAAGGAAUUGCCAUGCAGCGCCUGGUCAUCGACGUAUCUGCACGAGACAUUGAUUGCCCGUAGACGACAUCUUCCAGCCACUCAUUGUGGCUACUACGCCUGCGCCGGCAUCGGUGACGUCGCAUCAUAGGCUUCUACCAGCGGAUUGCUGCAAGUACCUGCUCCCACAAUCUUCAAUGUUGUGAUCCUUCGGAUUACCGGCUCGUCGGUCUGCCCCACCGGAUGGUCGACGCUUGCUCAGGAAGCUUCACGGGUCCGUUGCCAACGAAGGCUCUAAACGCAAACGUGUCAGCCGGCGUGGACUGCUUCCUCCCCUGCUGGCCAGCACUCACCUGGCGGUACUGCGCAUGCUCCUGCACCUCGGCGACAUCUACGGGCUCGCAACAGGAUAAAGGACGAACGCCUCUGCGGUUCCACUUCAGUGGGUCCGGUGGCAGCAUCGCAAACAUGCGCUGCAAAUUUGCCUACUUCUACUUACAGCUCGCCCUUGGUCUGUGUUUUCAUGGCGCCAAGAGCAGCAUCCAGCAUCCCGGGAUAACCUUUGUCACCCCACCGGUGAAUUAAGCGCCCGUCCACGUGUGGGAUACGCUGACGUCAUCAGACAAUCAUCGGCCAAGUCACCUUGGGACGGCAACGUGCGCAGACUGUUCGGCGCAUAAGCCGCUACGAGCGCCACCACAGGAGUGGACCAUAUAUAUCCCGCACGGGCACUACAUCGGC